GAUUGAACGCUGGCGGCAGGCUUAACACAUGCAAGUCGAGCGGUAGCACAGGGGAGCUUGCUCCCUGGGUGACGAGCGGCGGACGGGUGAGUAAUGUCUGGGAAACUGCCUGAUGGAGGGGGAUAACUACUGGAAACGGUAGCUAAUACCGCAUAACGUCGCAAGACCAAAGAGGGGGACCUUCGGGCCUCUUGCCAUCAGAUGUGCCCAGAUGGGAUUAGCUAGUAGGUGGGGUAAUGGCUCACCUAGGCGACGAUCCCUAGCUGGUCUGAGAGGAUGACCAGCCACACUGGAACUGAGACACGGUCCAGACUCCUACGGGAGGCAGCAGUGGGGAAUAUUGCACAAUGGGCGCAAGCCUGAUGCAGCCAUGCCGCGUGUGUGAAGAAGGCCUUCGGGUUGUAAAGCACUUUCAGCGAGGAGGAAGGUGGUGAGCUUAAUACGCUCAUCAAUUGACGUUACUCGCAGAAGAAGCACCGGCUAACUCCGUGCCAGCAGCCGCGGUAAUACGGAGGGUGCAAGCGUUAAUCGGAAUUACUGGGCGUAAAGCGCACGCAGGCGGUUUGUUAAGUCAGAUGUGAAAUCCCCGGGCUCAACCUGGGAACUGCAUUUGAAACUGGCAAGCUAGAGUCUCGUAGAGGGGGGUAGAAUUCCAGGUGUAGCGGUGAAAUGCGUAGAGAUCUGGAGGAAUACCGGUGGCGAAGGCGGCCCCCUGGACGAAGACUGACGCUCAGGUGCGAAAGCGUGGNGAGCAAACAGGAUUAGAUACCCUGGUAGUCCACGCUGUAAACGAUGUCGAUUUGGAGGUUGUGCCCUUGAGGCGUGGCUUCCGGAGCUAACGCGUUAAAUCGACCGCCUGGGGAGUACGGCCGCAAGGUUAAAACUCAAAUGAAUUGACGGGGGCCCGCACAAGCGGUGGAGCAUGUGGUUUAAUUCGAUGCAACGCGAAGAACCUUACCUACUCUUGACAUCCAGAGAACUUAGCAGAGAUGCUUUGGUGCCUUCGGGAACUCUGAGACAGGUGCUGCAUGGCUGUCGUCAGCUCGUGUUGUGAAAUGUUGGGUUAAGUCCCGCAACGAGCGCAACCCUUAUCCUUUGUUGCCAGCGGUUCGGCCGGGAACUCAAAGGAGACUGCCAGUGAUAAACUGGAGGAAGGUGGGGAUGACGUCAAGUCAUCAUGGCCCUUACGAGUAGGGCUACACACGUGCUACAAUGGCGUAUACAAAGAGAAGCGACCUCGCGAGAGCAAGCGGACCUCAUAAAGUACGUCGUAGUCCGGAUUGGAGUCUGCAACUCGACUCCAUGAAGUCGGAAUCGCUAGUAAUCGUAGAUCAGAAUGCUACGGUGAAUACGUUCCCGGGCCUUGUACACACCGCCCGUCACACCAUGGGAGUGGGUUGCAAAAGAAGUAGGUAGCUUAACCUUCGGGAGGGCGCUUACCACUUUGUGAUUCAUGACUGGGGUGA
rnacentral:rRNA from 1 species